UACAGAGGUGGCAAGCGUUGUUCGGAAUUACUGGGCGUAAAGGGCGCGUAGGCGGUCUUGUAAGUCCCGUGUGAAAUCCCUCGGCUCAACUGAGGAACUGCACGGGAAACUGCUUGGCUUGAGUUCGGGAGAGGGAAGCGGAAUUCCGGGUGUAGCGGUGAAAUGCGUAGAUAUCCGGAGGAACACCGGUGGCGAAGGCGGCUUCCUGGACCGACACUGACGCUGAGGAGCGAAAGCGUGGGGAGCGAACAGG
rnacentral:rRNA from 1 species